rnacentral:lncRNA from 1 species
AUCUGUACAAGGGAGAGUGAGUUCUGUUUAGGACAUGCCCACGGGACCUUGGGAGACACAGACAAGGACUUGGGAUUAAGUAGCAUAUACGCUGUAUUUAAAGUGGAUGAUGUGGCUGGGUGCACUGGCUCACUCCUAUAAUCCCAGAACUUUGGAAGGCCGAGGCAGGUGAAUCGCUUGAGCCCAGAAGUUCUAGACCAGUCUGGGCAACAUAGUGACACCCCAUCUCUACAAAACAAUGCAAAAAUUAGCUGGGCAUGGUGGUGUGUGCCUGUAGUCCCAGUUACUCAGGAGGCUGAGGUGGGAGGAUCACUUGAGCCCAGGAGGUCAAGGCUGCAGUGAGCUGAGAUUGUGCCACUGCACUCCAGCCUGGGCAACAGAGUGAGGCCCUGUCUCAAAUAAAUAAAUAAAGUAGAUGGUCUGUCCAAGAGAAAAGAACACGCAGAGGAGAGCUAAGGACAGGACUCUAGGGAACACAAGAUGAAAGGGGGCCAGAGUACAGGACCUGGCAGGGAAGACUGAGAAAGAAUACUCAGAGAGGCAGGGGCAGGAGAAAACAGCAACAGUCAAGGCAGGAAAGGUGAGAGUUGCAAGGAAGGGUGGGCAACGGUGUCAAAUGCCAGGAAAGUUAAGUAGGAUUAACAUUAAAUAGACACCAGUGGAUUUGACAACGGAGACCUGAGGGAGACUAGAUGAAACGAUGAAGGUAGAGAUGAGGAAGCAGAAGCAGUGACAACAGAACAUUCUUCACAGAAGCCUGGCCAUGAAAGAAGGGGGAGCCCUGACAGGGAGAAGAGAUGAAAUGGGAGACAUUGUUUAGAAGGGAUAGACAUGGGUGAAGGCAGAAGAGAAAGUCUACCUGGUAAAGCAAGAUAAUGGAGAAGGAAAGCAGAAAUGGGGCCAAGAACUGGCAUGGAACAGCUCAUCUUAGGAGGGAAAAGGCCACGAUCUCUUCCUCCUUUGAGAUGAGAAAACCGAGACACG